GUUGUUCCAACUCGAAAAAGAAAAGGAGCUGAAAACAAUUUCUGACACGGAACAAUGGCACAACAGAACCAGUCACAUUUCUCCAUAAAGGCAGAGAAUAUAAAAACAACUUUGAUAACAUUGAUUAAAUUUCCAAAUGAAUCCAAGUGCCCUCUUUGUAAAAAGCACAGAGACUACAGCAUCCUGCUACAUCACCUUCAGAGUCAUGAAGGCCACAUUGUCAAGUAUGCAGGGCCUUCCAAGUCAGAUGAAUAGCCAUGGCCGUGGAAUUUCCAUGUUGAUGGUAUGACCAUUUCAUAUUGUAACUAUCAUUUUUUGUAUGUCUGUAUUUAAUGUUGUGUCCAGGUUUCCAAAGGACCAUUUUGUGGUGUCUCUGUAUUUCAUCCUCGAGGCCCCUUUCAGUUUUAAUGAGUUGUCUCAACUUUAGUCCUCUCUUCUUUCAUUGUAGUAUUUGUAGAGGGAGGAUUAUAUCUGGUUGCUGGUUCCCAUUUUUGUCACCUUCUACAAUUUGUGUUGGAUAUUUGUGUUAUGUUUAACUUAUUUUAUUAUAUUUGGUUUUUUUUUUUAAUUUCAACAUACUGUCCAUAGUGGUUUUGAAGUUCCAGAAACACCUACCUUUCAAAAUCCAGAUCAUUUAAAUGUAUGUUUAUAAUGGUUUGCAUAAAUAUUUUUGUAACAUUAAACUCCUUUUAAGAACGUGA